UACGUAGGGGCGAGCGUUGUCCGGAAUGAUUGGGCGUAAAGGGCGCGUAGGCGGCCUAUCAAGUCAGUAGUGGAAGUCCAAUUUUCAAGAUUGGAAGUGCUAUUGAAACUGAAUGACUUGAGUGCAGGAGAGGUUAUCGGAAUUCCCGGUGUAGCGGUGAAAUGCGUAGAGAUAUGGAGGAACACCAGUGGCGAAGGCGGCUUCCUGGUCUGUAACUGACACUGAGGCGCGAAAGCGUGGGGAGCAAACAGGAUUAGAUACCCGGGUA
rnacentral:rRNA from 1 species